GAUGAACGCUGGCGGCGUGCUUAACACAUGCAAGUCGAACGGAAAGGCCCAAGCUUGCUUGGGUGCUCGAGUGGCGAACGGGUGAGUAACACGUGGGUGAUCUGCCCUGCACUUUGGGAUAAGCCUGGGAAACUGGGUCUAAUACCGGAUAGGACCAUCGUUUAGUGUCGGUGGUGGAAAGUUUUUCGGUGUGGGAUGAGCUCGCGGCCUAUCAGCUUGUUGGUGGGGUAAUGGCCUACCAAGGCGUCGACGGGUAGCCGGCCUGAGAGGGUGUACGGCCACAUUGGGACUGAGAUACGGCCCAGACUCCUACGGGAGGCAGCAGUGGGGAAUAUUGCACAAUGGGCGCAAGCCGGAUGCAGCGACGCCGCGUGGGGGAUGACGGCCUUCGGGUUGUAAACUCCUUUCGCCAAGGACGAAGCGUUUUGUGACGGUACUUGGAGAAGAAGCACCGGCUAACUACGUG
rnacentral:rRNA from 1 species